rnacentral:rRNA from 1 species
CCUACGGGAGGCAGCAGUGAGGAAUAUUGGUCAAUGGACGAGAGUCUGAACCAGCCAAGUAGCGUGAAGGAUGACUGCCCUAUGGGUUGUAAACUUCUUUUAUAUGGGAAUAAAACGUUCCACGUGUGGGAUUUUGUAUGUACCAUAUGAAUAAGGAUCGGCUAACUCCGUGCCAGCAGCCGCGGUAAUACGGAGGAUCCGAGCGUUAUCCGGAUUUAUUGGGUUUAAAGGGAGCGUAGGUGGAUUGUUAAGUCAGUUGUGAAAGUUUGCGGCUCAACCGUAAAAUUGCAGUUGAAACUGGCAGUCUUGAGUACAGAAGAGGUGGGCGGAAUUCGUGGUGUAGCGGUGAAAUGCUUAGAUAUCACGAAGAACUCCGAUUGCGAAGGCAGUUCACUGGACUGCAACUGACACUGAGGCUCGAAAGUGUGGGUAUCAAACAGGAUUAGAUACCCCAGUAGUC